rnacentral:lncRNA from 1 species
AAACAGAUGCCUUCAUUCUUACGGAGGAAGAGAUCAUCUAUGGUGCUGAAGCGAGAGCUGUUCCACCCGAAGGAGGAGAGUCCGUCGUGGCAAGGAAGCCAUGUUGGCAAGCAGCAGGUCGGGAGGUAGGAGACCAUCUCUUCAGCUGCGAACAGGACGCGCAGAGAGGGAACUAGAAAGAACCCCAGAGAUGGAAAGAAAACAAAGAAUUGUUAUCUGGGAGCUGUUGGUAGGAGGUGAAGUGCAUUCAGUCAUGGAGGAAACCAGUGUGGAGGGUCCUUGAAAAAUUGAAAAUGGAACUGCUACUGCUUGACCAGACAUGGUUGAUGGCUUACAUCCAGAGGAAGUGAAAUGGGUACAUCCAAGUGUCAUCUGCUAUUCCACGCUCAUUCAACCUUGUCCCCAAGAGCUGAGGCCCAGAAUCCACCUGCCUGUCUAUCACGGAUGCUGCGGUGAUAUACAGUGGAAUAUUAUAUACCCCUAAAAAAGAAGGAAGUCGUGUAAUCUGGGACAUAAUAGUUGAAUCUGGAGCAUAUUCAGCCAUGGGAAAUCAGUCAGGCACAGAAAACUAAAUAACAUGUGAUCUUAUUCCUAUGUAAAAUCUAGAAGGAGGGGGAGAGGAGAAGAAAGGAAGGAAGAAAGAAAUUCUUAAAAUAGGACAGUGUUUGCAGGGUAUUGGGGAGAUAUUGGCCAAAGCAAGAUUUCAAUUAGAUAGAAAAAUGAGUUCAGAUCUACUGUUCAAGAAGGGAAUCAUAGUUCAUAAUAAAAGUGAUAUAUUUUG